rnacentral:lncRNA from 1 species
CGGAGCGGUCUUUUUGAUUUCUUCGGAAGGAGAACUUGUGUUUACAUUUAAGUAUUAAAAUAUUUUUCCCGAGAGCUUCUUCCCGUUGAAUGUUAUGUGUCGUCUUCGCCGUAGCUGUCAUGGCGUGUAGUUUAUAAAGUCGCGUCAGAUGUCAUGUUGUUUAUUAUCAAACCAGUAACACGUUUGUAAGCAUGAGCAGCUCGGGUCCUCCGGCCAAAAAGAAAUGUUACAUGGGACAGCACCAGAUUAUCAAGAAAAAGAGCUCUCGAGCCCCGGACGAGCCACUACCUGGCAGCACCUCUGUUCUGCUGCAGAAACCCCGCUAUCUGUCGGACAAAACAAACAGAUCACACACAGAGAGCAUCAACAGAGGCAAACACCAAGUCCCUAACAUGGGUGGAGGGACAUUGUUGUCUCUGGGAGAGUCCUCGUUGGCUCUGGAUGAGGAGAUGCUGCAGGCACUGGAUGCUCUGGAUCCUGUCAAGCCUGCAGCUGACAAAGCUCCUUCAGCGACGGUAAACACCAACACACAGGAAGGAGCGGCUUCAUUAGCCACGUUAGAGCCUCUUGCAUCAGUUCCAGGCAAUAAG